AAGGCAAGCAGUGGCAGGCUCAUCAUUGGGCAGGAAGGGAGGAGGGCAAAAUGAAAAAAACAUCUCUUGCACACAAUCGUCCAGCGUUAUUGCUGGGAGAUGAUACGCAAGGACCGGGAUCUUGAGCGCUUGAUUCUGCCUAAAUAACUCAAAAACCCACAAGAAGAGAGUUAGGAAGGGGAGUUCUCUCUCUUUUCUUCUACUAUGAUCUUCCGUCUCCGACGCCUGACCCCAGGAUACUUUCGGCUGUUGCAGAUGCAGCUGGCCAGUGGCUCGGAAUCAGAGUCUGAAGAUCGGCUGAUGAAUCAUUUGGCCCUGAUCUUAGCCAUUAUGGGACUGAGCCUUUCUUACUACAGUGUCCGGCAGCUGUCUGAAGAGAUCAAGCCCCCACCAGAACCUUUAGGCCCAGAUACCACCAAACAGGAAUGACCCAGACCACUGAAGAUGGCAGAGUCUCUGGUACUGUAUUCAACCUGGGGACUCAUGAACGUAUAUCUGGUGGAGUUUGUAUGCAGCCUUUAGUCAGGUACAUUACAAUUGCACUGCCUUUUAUAUUCUUCUCCUAUAAUGGAAGGGUAGUCCUUGAUACUCUUUUCCUCUGCGCUUGCUCGCUUUUCUGGAUUCUCACCCAAAAGGAUAGACCCCAAUGUUUUCAAACCUACACCAUUCCCUUUCAGUGGAGCCAUCACCUACAAGGCUGCAGGCUUUCACACAACUGUCUUGUCUGAAGAUCUGGUUGGUUCACAAGGCUCUCCCUGGAUCUCACCCUGCUUUCUUGAUUCAUAAAGAGCUUUCUGUCUGGCUGCAUCAACUUUCAGGUAAUUUAAUCCCUAAGAAAUUUUAAAACAAAUAAAGAAACAAACAAACAAAAAAUCAGGAUGAGGGAGAUAGAGUUGAGUAGUCUGAGGAAACCCAGUAAUUGUCUUAGCAUGUUGUAGGAUACGAACAGUGGAAUUGUUGUUCAGUAAUCUGGAGUUAAGAUUUAGCAUCUUGUAUGAGUCUCUCAAAGAGGAGGAGAAGGGCCUUCAGAUUAUGGGAGAUUAACAUUCCACAGAAAUAAUCUGAGUUGAUAUAGAAGGGUUAAAUGGAGGCAAACCCAUGUAGAAGACGGAUCCUAUUCUGCAUUGAUACUGGCAGCCCAAGACCUCCAUAAGGCUCUUGCCAGGCCUCUCCAUGACAUCCAGAGAGGGAUCACCUUACUUUAAGGGAGGACCAUUUUCUCAGGUAGAACCUGAAACUCAUUCGUGGAAGGCUAUGAAGUAAAGUCAUUGGAAAGGCAUGGUCAAAUUGGGAGGAAUUUGUUUUGUAUUUCCGAAAGCUGGAAAUUACGAUAUCUGUGGGGUGCGUGUCAAAAGGUCAAUAUGAUGAUUAUGUAAUCUAAGCCCUAGUCAUUUUUUACAGGCAUUGAAGGUACAAUAAUAAUUUAAAAGAGGGGGCAGGGCUUUGAUCAAAGAGUCACAGCCAUCACCUUGACACCUUGGACACCUCUUGUGGGAAAAGGAAGCCCUUAAGAAGCAAACCACUUUCCCAUUUGCAUGUGUAAUCAGCUCCCACCUCAAAUCCCCCAUUGCUCCAGAUCACCUGGACCUCUUAUACGGGCACAAUAUACCUAUAGCUUCAUUAACAUUUUUCGAAGCUGUGGCUUAGACACACGCUGACUGGAUCGUAUUGCUGCUUUGCUGCUGCAGUCUUCAAUAGGUGGAUUGGGAACUACGUCUCCAUCCAGUGAAUGGUGUUUUGGCCAAAGCUGUGCUUCUGCGCGUCCCUUGAGAUUGUUUGGAGAUGGCUUCACUUGAUCUCUUGACCCAUAGGUCCAUUUUUCUUUAUUUUCUACUCAACAUGCGUACGUAAAAGGCAAAGGGUCAUGAACUGUCAUCCAAUGUGAACUGAGGAGGGAAAGGGAAAAAGAUGGACAAUUAGAAAAUAAAAUCAGAUAAAGCCUGGGUUCUGUGUUACCGAUGGAAACAGAAUUUCUAGGAAAACCUUCUUGUGGAGUUCUAAAGAAAGAGGUUUCCAAAAGGUCAUUUCCUUCCUUCUAAUCUAUGAUGAAAGGGAAAUUUGAGGAGAAGGGAAAGAGAAGAGAAGGUCAGAACAGCAGAGCAAGUGAUUGUGUAACGUUCCUGUGGCUUUAGGCAGAAAAGCUGCUUUAUGGGAGACUGCAGACUGCCGGCAUUGCAUCAGAGAACAUGUGUCCAGACAUCUGUGACCUAAAUAACAUUAAACUAGUGAUUAGAAUGGAGACUGGGGAUUCAGAAGAAUAUUCUUCUUUCAAUUAGAAUAAUGCAUCAACAGGGGAAGGGGAAUGAACAGAAAGUUGGCUGUAUAUUUCUUCUCCUAUAAUGAUUUUUUAAAAAAAAACCUCCCAUAUCAGGACAAUUAUGCUGAAGGUCAGCUAUGACUGAAUGGGUGCAGCCAAGCCAGAGAUCUUUGCAAAUAUUAUACAGAAAUUUAUUUUAUUGGCAGUGAUGAGCUACCUUUCAAUAUGUAACUGCUGGGGACUGAGUCUAUUCUCCAUGGUAAGCAAAGCAAUUGCUUUCUCAUCAAAGUUAUGAUUGCUGCCUAAAAACCACUUUCAUGCAGGAUCUCCUGUUGUAUCUUUCCAUCUCAGACUCUUACUAUUCAUGCCAACAUUCCCAAGAACCUACAACCCCAACCGUCAGCUUGGUUACUACACCCAGUACCAAAAAACUGAGAUGGAGCAUUUUGCAUAUACUUGCAGCAAGAGGUCUCUACCCUUGUACUUUACCAAAAACUCUGUUUUAAAUAUUCUGUGUCAUUUGGGGACCUCUCAAAAAUUAAUCCAGACUUUGUUGCAUGAUUGUUGACCAUGAUCAACAAAUGUUGACUUGUGUCCCUAAGAAUUGCAGUUGUUAAAAGCUAUUUUUAAUAUAUAUAUAUAUUCUAACUUAUGUGAGUACAAAGUAAUGUUUGAAAUGCCUAAUAAAAUAUUUUAAAGCAGAGGCU